rnacentral:rRNA from 1 species
UUGGAGGGCAAGUCUGGUGCCAGCAGCCGCGGUAAUUCCAGCUCCAAUAGCGUAUAUUAAAGUUGUUGCAGUUAAAAAGCUCGUAGCUGAAUUUCGGGGUUAGUAGGUUGGUCAUGCCUCUGGUAUGUACUGGUCUCACUGAUUCCUCCUUCCUGAUGAACCGUAAUGCCAUUAAUUUGGUGUUGCGGGGAAUUUGGACUGUUACUUUGAAAAAAUUAGAGUGUUUAAAGCAAGCUAACGCUUGAAUACAUUAGCAUGGAAUAAUGAAAUAGGACGUUCGAUCCUAUUUUGUUGGUUUCUAGGAUCGACGUAAUGAUUAAUAGGGAUAGUUGGGGGCAUUAGUAUUCGAUUGUCAGAGGUGGAAUUCUUGGAUUUAUUGAAGACUAACUACUGCGAAAGCAUUUGCCAAGGAUGUUUUCAUUAAUCAAGAACGAAAGUUAGGGGAUCGAAGACGAUCAGAUACCGUCGUAGUCUUAACCAUAAACUAUGCCGACUAGGGAUCGGAUGAUGUUAAUUUUUUAAUGACUCAUUCGGCGCCUUACGGGAAAC